GAGCCUGCUCAGGAGUGGUUGUGCCUGUGACACCAGGGAGGAAGGAGGCCAAGUGGGUGGGCAGGAAAGCGGAAGGAAACGGUGUCUACUGAAUGUAGCUGUUUUGGGGGACAGGCAGGUGGGAGAAGCAAGAUGACAACAGACCCCAUCCAGGACUGACUUCCUACGGUUCCCUAGGAUCCUCAUUCCACCCGUGUCAUUUCAGAUCUUUGAAUGUUUCUCUAAUCAUGGUCUGAAUAGCCUGCCAUUUCCUGGAGGGUCUCAGACCCUUGUUCCUCCUCAUGACAGGCAGCGGGGAAGGACAUGUACAGGAUCAGAAUCCCAUCUCCAUGUUACUUCAGGGCGCAUUUGGCAAUGUCUGCAGACAAUGGCCAGCCUUCAGCAGGGGGCAGGCUGACCACCUCCCCUGUUCCUCCUGAUGCUCAGACCUGUUCUGGCGACUCCAGCUUUGAGCCCAUGUAUUUAAGAGCCAGAUCUAGAGACUCCAGGCUCCCCCAAGUCUAAACACAGCUCGGAGAUCCAGGCCCUGCUUAGGGCACUCUGCAGGGGGGCAGAGGGAGGAGGUGGUGGUGCCCUGGUUUCUGUACACACUGCCACUGCUCCUGAAGUGUUAA